rnacentral:rRNA from 1 species
ACUCCUACGGGAGGCAGCAGUGGGGAAUAUUGCACAAUGGGGGAAACCCUGAUGCAGCCAUGCCGCGUGUGUGAAGAAGGCCUUCGGGUUGUAAAGCACUUUCAGUAGGGAGGAAGGUAGUGUAGUUAACACCUGCAUUAUUUGACGUUACCUACAGAAGAAGCACCGGCUAACUCCGUGCCAGCAGCCGCGGUAAUACGGAGGGUGCGAGCGUUAAUCGGAAUUACUGGGCGUAAAGCGCAUGCAGGUGGUUUGUUAAGUCAGAUGUGAAAGCCCGGGGCUCAACCUCGGAAUUGCAUUUGAAACUGGCAGACUAGAGUACUGUAGAGGGGGGUAGAAUUUCAGGUGUAGCGGUGAAAUGCGUAGAGAUCUGAAGGAUACCGGUGGCGAAGGCGGCCCCUGGACAGAUACUGACACUCAGAUGCGAAAGCGUGGGGAGCAAACAGGAUUAGAUACCCUGGUAGGAUAGCG